rnacentral:ncRNA from 1 species
AAAAAGUUUUAUUUAAGUUUAAAGUUUAAGUUUAAAGUUUUUUUUAUAUGUGAUUUUUUAAUUAAUUUUUAUUUAGAUAGUAUUAAUUGAUUUAGCAAUGAUUAUUCUUAAAUAUUAAUGAAAUUUAGAUUUAGAAAAAUUGUUUAAUUCUGACAAAAUUUGUGCCAGCCGUAGCGGUUAAACAAAUAGAGUAACUUAAACAUUUCAGUUUAAAUUAAAUUAAAUAUUAUUUUAUUUUAAUUAUUAUUUUAUUAGGUGAAAUUAUAAAGUUUUAUAAAAUAUGAAUUAAGUUUUUGAGGUUUAUAAAUUAAAAUUAAGACUAGGAUUAGAUACCCUAUUAUUUAAAUGUAAAUUUGUUUGCUAGAUUAGUAUUAGUUAUUUUCUUGAAAAUUAAAAAAUUUGGCGGUAUUUUAGUCUAUUCAGAGGAACCUGUCCUGUAAUUGAUAUUCCACAAUUUAUUUUACUUAUUUUAAAUAACUUAUAUACCGUCGUAGUUUGAAUAUUUUUAAAAAAAUUAAAUAUUCAAAAUUUUUGUUAUAAAAAAAAAUCAGAUCAAGGUGUAGUUUAUAAAUAAGAAGAGAUGGGUUACAAUAAAUAAAUUUAUUAUUAAUAAUGUUUUGAGAAAAAUAUUUGAGAGUGGAUUUGAUAGUAAUUUUAAUUAAUUAAUUAAAAUGAUUUUGGCUCUAAAAUAUGUACAUAUCGCCCGUCGCUUUCUCUAUAAAGAGGAAUAAGUCGUAACAAAGUAGGUGUACUGGAAAGUGUGCCUAGAGAGUC